rnacentral:rRNA from 1 species
CUGGCUCAGGACGAACGCUGGCGGCGUGCUUAACACAUGCAAGUCGAACGGGGAUUAGGUUGGAAAGGCUUCGGCCCGGAAGACAUAAUUCGAGUGGCGGACGGGUGAGUAACGCGUGAGCAACCUGUCCCAGACAGGGGGAUAACACUUGGAAACAGGUGCUAAUACCGCAUAAGACCACGGGGUCACAUGGCUCUGGGGUAAAAGGAGCAAUCCGGUUUGGGGUGGGCUCGCGUCCGAUUAGAUAGUUGGUGAGGUAACGGCCCACCAAGUCGACGAUCGGUAGCCGACCUGAGAGGGUGAUCGGCCACAUUGGAACUGAGAGACGGUCCAAACUCCUACGGGAGGCAGCAGUGGGGAAUAUUGGGCAAUGGGCCGAAAGCCUGACCCAGCAACGCCGCGUGAGUGAAGAAGGCCUUCGGGUUGUAAAGCUCUGUUAUAGGGGACGAAGGAAGUGACGGUACCCUAUAAGGAAGCCCCGGCUAACUACGUGCCAGCCGCGGC